AAUCACAAGUACGACAAAGAUCCGGCCAAGCCGAUGCCAUUUGAGAAUUAACGUAGAAGUUGGUUAAAAAGUAAUUCGCAUACUGUAAAAUUUUUUAGCUAAUCACCAACUAAACACGGUUGCCCAGAUUUGCUCAAAGAAAUUCAGUGACGCUGACUCUACCUAAUCUCAACACU